AUGUAAAAUUUUAAGAUUCACCUUCAGAAAGUAAGGAGAGGAAGCAUAACCUACCUGCAGUUAAGGCAUAGAGAGAGAACAAAGAUCAAAUAUUUUACAACACAGAUCCUUGAGUUUGACUCUGAAAUACUAUAUUUUAUUUUACUUCAACUUCCGGUUUUAAUGGCACUUAAAAACUGUUUCUAUUAUUAGCAAGUUUUGAAUUUUGAGUAAAUUGAAAUGGAAAUAAAAGUUGUUUCUAAAAAUAA